ACGAACGCUGGCGGCGUGCCUAACACAUGCAAGUCGAACGAAGCUUGACGAAUGAUUUCUUCGGAAUGAAAUCUGAUAUGACUGAGUGGCGGACGGGUGAGUAACGCGUGAGCAACCUGCCCUUCGGAACGGGAUAGUGUCUGGAAACGGACAGUAAUACCGUAUAACGUAUUUUUACCGCAUGAUAGAAAUACCAAAACUGAGGUGCCGAAGGAUGGGCUCGCGUCUGAUUAGAUAGUUGGUGGGGUAACGGCCUACCAAGUCGACGAUCAGUAGCCGGACUGAGAGGUUGAACGGCCACAUUGGGACUGAGACACGGCCCAGACUCCUACGGGAGGCAGCAGUGGGGAAUAUUGCACAAUGGGGGAAACCCUGAUGCAGCAACGCCGCGUGAAGGAAGACGGUUUUCGGAUUGUAAACUUCUGUUCUUAGUGAAGAAUAAUGACGGUAGCUAAGGAGCAAGCCACGGCUAACUACGUGCCAGCAGCCGCGGUAAUACGUAGGUGGCAAGCGUUGUCCGGAAUUACUGGGUGUAAAGGGAGCGUAGGCGGGAUGCCAAGUCAGCUGUGAAAACUAUGGGCUUAACCCGUAGACUGCAGUUGAAACUGGUAUUCUUGAGUGAAGUAGAGGUUGGCGGAAUUCCGAGUGUAGCGGUGAAAUGCGUAGAUAUUCGGAGGAACACCGGUGGCGAAGGCGGCCAACUGGGCUUUAACUGACGCUGAGGCUCGAAAGUGUGGGGAGCAAACAGGAUUAGAUACCCUGGUAGUCCACACUGUAAACGAUGAUAACUAGGUGUGGGGGGUCUGACCCCUUCCGUGCCGCAGCUAACGCAAUAAGUUAUCCACCUGGGGAGUACGACCGCAAGGUUGAAACUCAAAGGAAUUGACGGGGACCCGCACAAGCAGUGGAUUAUGUGGUUUAAUUCGAAGCAACGCGAAGAACCUUACCAGCACUUGACAUCCGACUAACGAAGUAGAGAUACAUUAGGUGCCCUUCGGGGAAAGUCGAGACAGGUGGUGCAUGGUUGUCGUCAGCUCGUGUCGUGAGAUGUUGGGUUAAGUCCCGCAACGAGCGCAACCCUUAUUGUUAGUUGCCAUCAUUUAGUUGGGCACUCUAGCGAGACUGCCGGUGACAAACCGGAGGAAGGUGGGGAUGACGUCAAAUCAUCAUGCCCCUUAUGACCUGGGCUACACACGUGCUACAAUGGACGGUACAACGAGUCGCGAACUCGCGAGGGCAAGCAAAUCUCUUAAAACCGUUCUCAGUUCGGACUGCAGGCUGCAACUCGCCUGCACGAAGUCGGAAUUGCUAGUAAUCGUGGAUCAGCAUGCCAUGGUGAAUACGUUCCCGGGCCUUGUACACACCGCCCGUCACACCAUGGGAGUUGGUAACACCCGAAGUCAGUAGUCUAACCGCAAGGAGGACGCUGCCGAAGGUGGGAUUGACGACUGGGGUG
rnacentral:rRNA from 1 species